rnacentral:rRNA from 1 species
GACGAACGCUGGCGGCGUGCCUAAUACAUGCAAGUAGAACGCUGAAGGAGGAGCUUGCUUCUCUGGAUGAGUUGCGAACGGGUGAGUAACGCGUAGGUAACCUGCCUGGUAGCGGGGGAUAACUAUUGGAAACGAUAGCUAAUACCGCAUAAGAGUAGAUGUUGCAUGACAUUUGCUUAAAAGGUGCAAUUGCAUCACUACCAGAUGGACCUGCGUUGUAUUAGCUAGUUGGUGGGGUAACGGCUUACCAAGGCGACGAUACAUAGCCGACCUGAGAGGGUGAUCGGCCACACUGGGACUGAGACACGGCCCAGACUCCUACGGGAGGCAGCAGUAGGGAAUCUUCGGCAAUGGACGGAAGUCUGACCGAGCAACGCCGCGUGAGUGAAGAAGGUUUUCGGAUCGUAAAGCUCUGUUGUAAGAGAAGAACGAGUGUGGGAGUGGAAAGUUCACACUGUGACGGUAUCUUACCAGAAAGGGACGGCUAACUACGUG